GCAAGAUGGCGACAGCGGCGGCGCGACCCCGGCCUGCUGUGGGCUGGCUGUGGAGCGAGCGCUUCUGGCGGCCCCAGAUCGUGAGCCGGGCUGACCUGGAGGGCCGGGCGAUGGCUACGGCUACCGCGCCCAACGCAUCUUCUCGGCGUUCCCAGUGGCGGGCACCUUCUCCGUGACACUGCUCUUUGAGCGGUUUAUUGCCAAACCCUGUGCACUCCAUGUUGGCAUCGAGGACAGUGGUCCUUAUCAGGCCCAACCCAAUGCCAUCCUCGAAAAGGUGUUCAUAUCUAUUACCAAGUAUCCUGACAAGAAAAGGCUGGAGGGUCUAUCAAAGCAACUGGACUGGAAUGUCCGAAAAAUCCAAUGCUGGUUUCGCCAUCAGAGGAAUCAGGACAAGCCCCCAACGCUCACUGAAUUCUGUGAAAGCAUGUGGAAUUUCUCUGGUUGUCACCUUGGUUCUGGGACAUCUGACAAUGCUGGCAUGGCUAUCCAUUUCAGCCUCUUUCACGUGGGCUUUAUUACUGUUCUAUCAUGGAAUUGGCCUUCUAUUGGUCUCUUAUGUUUUCUCAGUUUAGAGACAUUAAAAGAAAGGACUUUCUGAUCAUGUUUAUGCAUCACUUGGUCACCACUGGGCUUAUCACCUUCUCCUACAUCAACAACAUGGCUCGGGUGGGAACUCUGAUCAUGUGUCUACAUGACACCUCAGACUUCUUGCUGGAGGCAGCCAAGCUGGCCAAUUAUGCCAAGUAUCAGCGGCUCUGUGACACCCUUUUUGUGAUUUUCAGUGCUGUUUUUAUGGUCACUCGUCUAGGAAUCUAUCCAUUCUGGAUUCUGAACAUGACCUUCUUUGAGAGUUAGGAGAUGAUCGUGCCCUAUGCUUCCUGGUGACUCUUCAAUGGCCUUCUGCUGACCCUACAGGUUCUGCAUGCCAUCUGGUCCUAUCUAAUUGUACGAAUUGCUUUCAAAGCCUUGAUGUGGGGAAAGGUAUCUAAGGAUGAUGUCAGUGAUGUGGAAAGCAGCUCAGAAGAAGAAGAUGGGACCACCUGCACAAAAAGCCCCUGUGACAGUAGCUCCAGCAAUGGUGCCAAUCAGAUAAAUGGUCACAUGGGAGGCAGCUACUGGGCUAAAGAGUAAGGUGGUUGGUAUGGGGACUUAAGUAUACAUGGACAUAUAGGGCCAUUGGCAACAUACUCCACUUGGGUCUCCCAACAUCUACUCUCCUGUGACUGUGGGACUGCAGGCACUGAGGACACUCAAAGAAGCAAAUGUUUUCACUUUUUUAAAAAACUCUGCCAUUUUGUAUUUAAUAGCCUCCGGGUCCUAUCAGUACCAUUAUUUGCUGUGUGUCUGUUUGUGUGCUUAUGCAUGUGCAUUUGUGCAUAUGCAUGAGUUUCAUUGCCUGGGUUUCAUUGCCUGGGUUCUUGCCUUUGAACCCACUUCAAGCCCAGAUUUGGCUGCAUCUUGAAUUAUGCUGGCUCCAGACUAUCCCCUUCCUUUUUGUCCAUGGCUCUUGAGGCUCUAACUCCUGGACUGUCUGAAAGGAGCUGCUAAGUUCAGCUCCUGGUUUCUGCACUGUUCUUCUUUUGGAGCUGGAAUAUUUCACAAACUGAAGUUGUAAAGAAACAGAACCAUGAUGGAUGGCCAGGAUUGCUGUGACCCCUCGCUAGAUCCUCUUCCUAUCAUCUGAUAGUGACAGGAACAGCUGCUGAUACCCUGCUCUUUACUCAAUGGUAUGCAGGGAGGGGGGUGUGGGAGAGGGUGAGCCAAGGGCUGGAGGAGGACAAGAGCCACUGGGUGAGCUGUUAAUGGUUUUAUAUAUUGUUUACUUUUCCAUGAAUAAAAGUGCUUCAGCCCUCCUCAAAAAAAAAAAAAAAAAAAUACCACACACUGGGU